rnacentral:rRNA from 1 species
CCUACGGGAGGCAGCAGUGGGGAAUAUUGGGCAAUGGGUGCAAGCCUGACCCAGCAAUGCCGCGUGAAGGAAGAAGGCUUUCGGGUUGUAAACUUCUUUGACAGGGGAAGAGCAGAAGACGGUACCCUGACAACAAGCCACGGCUAACUACGUGCCAGCAGCCGAGUGAAUACGUAGGUGGCAGGCGUUGUCCGGAUUUACUGGGUGUAAAGGGCGUGUAGCCGGGAAGGCAAGUCAGAUGUGAAAUCUGGAGGCUCAACCUCCAAAUUGCAUUUGAAACUGUUAGUCUUGAGUACUGGAGAGGCAGACGGAAUGCCUGGUGUAGCGGUGAAAUGCGUAGAUAUAAGGAGGAACACCAGUGGCGAAGGCGGUCUGCUGGACAGCAACUGACGGUGAGGCGCGAAAGCGUGGGGAGCAAACAGGAUUAGAUACCCGAGUAGUC